rnacentral:rRNA from 1 species
GAUGAACGCUGGCGGCGUGCCUAAUACAUGCAAGUCGAGCGAACGGACGAGAAGCUUGCUUCUCUGAUGUUAGCGGCGGACGGGUGAGUAACACGUGGAUAACCUACCUAUAAGACUGGGAUAACUUCGGGAAACCGGAUCUCAUACCGGAUAAGAUUUUGAACCGCAUGGUUCAAAAGUGAAAGACGUUCUUGCUGACCCUUAUAGAUGGAUCCGCGCUGCAUUAGCUAGUUGGUAAGGUAACGGCUUACCAAGGCAACGAUGCAUAGCCGAUCUGAGAGGGUGAUCAGCCACACUGGAACUGAGACACGGUCCAGACUCCUACGGGAGGCAGCAGUAGGGAAUCUUCCGCAAUGGGCGAAAGCCUGACGGAGCAACGCCGCGUGAGUGAUGAAGGUCUUCGGAUCGUAAAACUCUGUUAGUAGGGAAGAACAUAUGUGUAAGUAACUGUGCACAUCUUGACGGUACCUAAUCAGAAAGCCACGGCUAACUACGUG